rnacentral:lncRNA from 1 species
CGUGUUUUCCAUAUUACCCUUCCUGCUCCUGCUUUCUUUGACUUUCAGGUAAAACGAAGAUACUACAUAACCAUAGGAGAGGCAGAGGAGUAUGAGAGUGAGGCGACUGCUGCUCGACUUCGUGAGGCAGCUAUUCAGGAAUUGGCAAAACAAAAGUCUUCACACCAAUUUCUUCACGAACGUACCAAUUUCUUCACGCUUCAAAGUCCUCGCACCAAUUUCUUCACGAACGUACCAAUUUCUUCAUGAACAUACCAAUUUCACUUUUAGAUUCUUCGAGGAAAUACCAAAGUCUUCAGCCGAAGAC